rnacentral:lncRNA from 1 species
GAAUCUGACGAGUUUAAGCGCGUUUCUAAGCACGCCGUAUCGCAAAUCUAUCAUGACCUUUCUCAUUCGCGCAUUUGCGUUAACCCUGAUCGUUGGUAGUUUCGGUAUUGUGCUACUGGAGACAACUAUCCUGGGAGACAACUAUCCUACGUUGGACAACCUUAAACAGGCUUUGGACACGCAGCAGAAAAUUUGGCUGAAAAACCGCACAUAUCCAAGUGCAAUCACGUGCUUUUACAUAGUAAAAAAGUCACUUCAAAACAAUACUUACACGUUCUCUGAGUACUAUAGAGAAGGCAGUAUGCAGAAGAGGGGUAUUGUCGCUGCUGCUGAUCUCUCCAACAGUACAGAAGGGCC